AGUGAACGCUGGCGGUAGGCCUAACACAUGCAAGUCGAACGGCAGCACAGUAAGAGCUUGCUCUUACGGGUGGCGAGUGGCGGACGGGUGAGGAAUACAUCGGAAUCUACUUUUUCGUGGGGGAUAACGUAGGGAAACUUACGCUAAUACCGCAUACGACCUACGGGUGAAAGCAGGGGAUCUUCGGACCUUGCGCGAUUGAAUGAGCCGAUGUCGGAUUAGCUAGUUGGCGGGGUAAAGGCCCACCAAGGCGACGAUCCGUAGCUGGUCUGAGAGGAUGAUCAGCCACCCUGGAACUGAGACACGGUCCAGACUCCUACGGGAGGCAGCAGUGGGGAAUAUUGGACAAUGGGCGCAAGCCUGAUCCAGCCAUCCCGCGUGGGUGAAGAAGGCCUUCGGGUUGUAAAGCCCUUUUGUUGGGAAAGAAAAGCAGCAGGUUAAUACCCCGCUGUUCUGACGGUACCCAAAGAAUAAGCACCGGCUAACUUCGUG
rnacentral:rRNA from 1 species